AUAAAGACAUGCGCAUAUUUAAAAUUGUAUCACGUUUUAAAAUAUAAAUUCUGUAUAAGUAUUGUAAAUAACAUAUUAAACUCCACUAAAAAAGGACUGAUAGCUUAAUGAGUGGGGUGCUGUACACUUCAAUUGUUUUUCCUGAGCGUUAACAAGAAAAUCAAAAUGUGUUUCAAAGUAACCUGCGAAUCUUGCAACAAGCCAACAUGGGCAGGAUGUGGAAAUCACAUUGAAGAAUGUUUGAAAGAUAUUCCACCAGAAGAAAGAUGUAAAUGCCCGAAAAAAUCAAAUUAAAAAAAUGGAAAUAUUUUGCAGAAUGGUGUUGGUUACAAGAGUGAACAGAAGUGCCAGAGGCUUUUUUAUUUGUAACUUUUUAUUUUUAUUGUUAUGUCUACUAAUUACAAUCUUUAAUUUGUUAAACUAAAAUAUUUUAAAUGCAUUG